CUUGGAGAUAGGAGGUUAAAAAUUAUUGAAGGUGGUGUUUUACUGCCAAUUGAAGAUCAAUUUCAUCUGUUAUAUGGUUUAAUGGUAGGACUGAACAAAAUACCUUUGCAUGCACUGUCUACCAUAUUGAGAAAACCAGGAGCAUGAGCCAUCAGCAAACUGUAAUCAUCAUUAAUAAUUGAAUCUACUUGUUUGUGGCAUGUCAUCAAGGAAUUCUACGAAGUCAUCAACAAUACCUCAGUGAUAUUAAUAAUACAUAGUUAUUUUUAAUAAAAUUAAAUUUCAAAUAUUAUUGGUAUGUAUAUUUUCUCUCUUUUAUAUUUCCUCUCCUUUGUUUCCUUCA